AAAUAUUGGCGUGCCUUUACACAUGCAAGUCGAGCGAAUGGAUUAAGAGCUUGCUCUUAUGAAGUUAGCGGCGGACGGGUGAGUAACACGUGGGUAACCUGCCCAUAAGACUGGGAUAACUCCGGGAAACCGGGGCUAAUACCGGAUAACAUUUUGAACCGCAUGGUUCGAAAUUGAAAGGCGGCUUCGGCUGUCACUUAUGGAUGGACCCGCGUCGCAUUAGCUAGUUGGUGAGGUAACGGCUCACCAAGGCAACGAUGCGUAGCCGACCUGAGAGGGUGAUCGGCCACACUGGGACUGAGACACGGCCCAGACUCCUACGGGAGGCAGCAGUAGGGAAUCUUCCGCAAUGGACGAAAGUCUGACGGAGCAACGCCGCGUGAGUGAUGAAGGCUUUCGGGUCGUAAAACUCUGUUGUUAGGGAAGAACAAGUGCUAGUGAAUAAGCUGGCACCUGACGACUCCAUCC
rnacentral:rRNA from 1 species